GCCGGCGUGGCUCAGAGGUAGAGCAGCUGAUUCGUAAUCAGCAGGUCGGGAGUUCGAUUCUCCCCGCCGGCUCCA
rnacentral:tRNA from 1 species